UUAAAUACAGCUUUAGAGCUGAAACAACUAAUCGAUUUAAUCGAUUAUAAUCGAUUAUUAAAAUAGUUAACAACUUUUUUAGUCAUCGAUUAGUUGUUUAAUAAUCAUAUUUUACCGCAUAAAGUCUAUUUUUACCACAAUCUGACAUCGGUUACAAGCUGUUAAAUUUGCCGCCAGUGUGUGGCAGUAAUGAGCCACUGAUCUACCAGUGGAGCCGUAGAAGAAGAAAUGAGCCAAUGAGUGCCCUCGGUUUUCAUGACGUAUCACGUUACUGACGCUCAUCUUGCUGUGAGAGAUGGCGGAACAAGAGGAAAUACGGAAGAAAAUAGAAGCGACAAAACUUUAGAGAAACCCCGGACAAAAACCUCACGAGUAUGGGAGCACUUCAGUCUAGAUGCCUUGAAAAGGCAAAAUAUGCAAAAACCAUCUAGCAUGGCACGGAAGCACGACGUCCCUAAGUGAACAUUUGAGACGAAAACGUGGGGGCUGAGGAAGAGCACCGCGGUCAAGUGAGCCGUCAUUUGGAAGAGCCAGCCCGAAAAAAACAAGCAACGAUGGACAACUACAUGGGGAACAAGACACUCACCCCCCAGCAAUUCAUACCACUUACAAACUCUAUUCUAAACAUGCUGGUAAAAGACAUGAGGCCACUAUCCAUGGUGGAAGGAGCAGGCUUCCAGCUAAUGCUAAAAAAUUAUUCUGGACUGAUAUUUUGCACUGUUUAGCUCAUUUUCUACUGCUGACUGUGUUCAUGUGCAAUAAAAUAGAUUGCAGUCAACUGCACAA